GCGUGGUGGCUGGCGUUGUCUUUGUCGGGCUCCGCCAUGGCGUACUGGGGUCAGGGCCAGAAAGUCCAGAAGGUGAUGGUGCAGCCCAUCAGCCUCAUCUUCAGAUACUUGCAGAAUAGAUCCCAGAUCCAGGUGUGGCUGUAUGAGCAAGUGAAUAUGCGGAUAGAGGGCUGUAUUACUGGUUUUGACGAGUACAUGAACCUUGUAUUAGAUGAUGCAGAAGAAAUUCAUUCUAAAACAAAGUCAAGAAAACAGCUGGGUCGGAUCAUGCUCAAAGGAGAUAACAUUACUCUGCUACAAAGUGUCUCCAACUAGAAAUGAUCAAUGAAUUCAAACAGGGAAGUGAGGCAGUGGCAAUUAUGAUGAUAUGUAAAAAGGCAAUUAUUUAAGUGGUUUGCCCUGGAAGUGUUUGUAAAACAUUUGUUCAUAUUGUUUUGACUACUCUUAUGUUUUUACUGA